CGUAUGCAACCUACCUAUCAGAGGGGAAGUAACCCGGACGAAAGUACGGACUAAUACCGCAUAAACAGGGCACCGCAUGGUGAUAUUUGUUAAAGAAAUUCGCUGAUAGAUGGGCAUGCGUUCCAUUGGGUAGUUGGUGAGGUAACGGCUCACCAAGCCGACGAUGGAUAGGGAACUGAGAGGUUGGUCCCCCACACUGGUACUGAGACACGGACCAGACUCCUACGGGAGGCAGCAGUGAGGAAUAUUGGUCAAUGGGCGGGAGCCUGAACCAGCCAAGUCGCGUGAAAAGGAAGAAGGAUCUAUGGUUCGUAAACUUCUUUUGCAGGGGAAUAAAGUGCAGGACGUGUCCUGUUUUUGUAUGUACCCUGAGAAUAAGGAUCGGCUAACUCCGUGCCAGCAGCCGC
rnacentral:rRNA from 1 species